rnacentral:rRNA from 1 species
UACAGAGGUCCCAAGCGUUGUUCGGAUUCACUGGGCGUAAAGGGUGCGUAGGUGGCGCGGUAAGUCGGGUGUGAAAUUUCGGAGCUUAACUCCGAAACUGCAUUCGAUACUGCCGUGCUUGAGGACUGGAGAGGAGACUGGAAUUUACGGUGUAGCGGUGAAAUGCGUAGAUAUCGUAAGGAAGACCAGUGGCGAAGGCGGGUCUCUGGACAGUUCCUGACGCUGAGGCACGAAGGUCAGGGGAGCAAACGGG